rnacentral:tRNA from 1 species
AAGUUAUUUAGCUUAUAAUAAAGCAAGUAUUUUGAAAAUACUAGAAAGAGAUCAUUUAAUAACUUU